CGUGACUCCUCCGCGCUUUGUUUCGUAAAGCCUGAGACUCCCCGAGUCUUCCGACUUCUCCCUGACAUGGCCCUCGUUUGGGCUUCGUCCCCCGCAGAGGAAGCGGAAGUGCAGGUUUCCCCUCUCCUUGUUCUUGGAUGGCAGCUGUGGUUCCGGGAUUACUCUUGGGAUGCUGACGCUGGCCAUGGCUCAUUGUCAUCCCCAAGCCAGGCCAGUUCUCCAGGUGGAACUGUAGUGUAGCGACCUCACUGCUGCGCGCACAGUCUCCCGGGACUUGGACUCGAGGGAGUGACGAGGAGGAGCUCCGAGCUGCGCCUGAGCCGUGCCAGCCGGCGGACCUCAGGCGGUGGACGUCGGCGAUAGCCGUGUGGACGGUGACCGGCUCACUCUGCGGCGCCGUGCUCCCGCUGCUCACCCAAAGAAGUUGUUUCCAUUUUAAACCGGUCUUUUGGGGCUGCAGUAAAAAAUAAGAAAUGGAGUUUUCUUGCUUUUUACUCUAAAAUUCAAUGUAAUUAAAUUUCAUAUAUAUAUAAUAUAUACAUAUAUACAUAGUGUAAAAUAAAAUGUUUCUUGGACAAGAAAUCCCCUGAAAUUCAGCUGUUAUAGUGCUUCACUGUUUUUGCACUGAUUUUUCUAUACCUUAGGUGGUCAGAAGACAACCUUGAAUGCACUCAUAGAGAAAACUGUUACUUUCUGACGUAAUGUAAUUCAGGAAGACAGACGCUGCAAUCACAGAUUUUAAAAAAUUGUUUGCACUUAAAAAUAGUUGAAUGCUGGUGGAAAGUUACUUUGCAGAUGGGUGUAAGGACUCAUGGCCCUCUGAGGUGCGGCGUGAAGAUGCCCUUUUUACCCGUUGACGUUUAUUUUACGUAAAAUAAACUGUUGUUUCCAAUGCAAUCAACUCUGUAUUAUAUGUAUAAAUAUUGUAAUUCUGCAAUUGGGG
rnacentral:lncRNA from 1 species